rnacentral:tRNA from 1 species
GGGCCAUUAGCUCAGGUGGUUAGAGCGCACCCCUGAUAAGGGUGAGGUCCCUGGUUCAAGUUCAGGAUGGCCCA